CCUCCACUCUUUAUCGGAAGAAACAACCUUGAACUGCUAUAAUGGACAAAACAAGCUGAGUUGUGGGUGGGAUCAAUCGCUGCUGAUGGUGGAAAGCAAACUCUACCGAUAGAAUCAGAAGCGUCAUGACAAGCGAAAGAGGGCCUCCAAGUUUACCAUGAAGAGACUCUCUAGCCUUGCAUUUCCUCCAUAGAUUCCCAUGUACCUUUCCUUGUCUUCAACUUGGAUGCCGACGCUCUGCUGCUCCAACUAUAUCCCUCUUUCUCUACGCUUUUCGAUGGCAGCACACCGGCAUAGCAGCUGAGUAGUGGGCAGCUCGUCAAGAUCUUCAUCCAGGAACGAGAGGUAUGGAGCAAGCGAGAUGUUGGAUGUGGGCAAGAGCAAACUACAGCAGCAGGCCUCACCUCAGCACUCAGAUCCAUAGACUCUUCUUUGGAUCUUCCUACAACCAAUCAUGGGAGGAGAAAGCCUUCGCCGAAGACGCUGCAGGCCACUUGGGAGGCUGCGUGUGGCCUCCGAGAUCUUAUUCAUGCAGCUUUUGCAGACGAGAGUUCCGGUCAGCACAAGCUCUCGGUGGGCACAUGAACGUGCACCGAAGGGAUAGAGCCAGGCUCAGGCAAUGUUCGAGCGUCGGCGGAGAAGCUGGCGAAGACCAACAGCAUCCAAAUCCUUGCUUAAUGGUGGCCAUGGCCUCAGAGCAUCCACCGCAGAGCUGGUUCCAUGGAGCAUUCUACACCUCUCCAUCUGGUUCUCGGCCCACAGCUGAAGCUCGGGGUGGAAAACUUGGGGUCCGAGAAAGCCUGUGACGAUGAGGAGCAGAACCGUAACAAGAGAAGAAGAACUGAGACAACGCCUGUUUUCUUCAUGAAAUCCUUUUCUUGUGAUCAGCAACGAGUUCAACCUGAGGCACUAAACCAUGACACAGUUGAAGAGUUGGAUCUUGAGCUCAGGCUUGGAGAUGCUCCCAAAGUCAACUAGAAUUUGGAUCUCUUCUGCUUUCAUCAGUAUGUAUAUUAACCUUGUGUUCUUAGUUAUCUCAAUUAUCUUUCUAAUUGUGAGGUCUCUUCUCCCUUUCUCUUCUCAUAUUCCUUGGAACUCAAAUUUUCUCCUUAGUUAGAUAUUUUAACUAUGAGAA